rnacentral:rRNA from 1 species
CACACCGCCCGUCACACCAUGGGAGUUGAUUGCACCAGAAGUAGGUAGCCUAACCGCGAAGGAGGGCGCUUACCACGGUGUGGUCAAUGACUGGGGUG